CCUGUUUAAGUGUGUUUUCUGCAAAGUUGCCCCUGACACGUCGGCCAAGCCCAGGCUGCUACGAUUCCUUACACUAAAUCGUCGAGGGGGAUGCCACCCGACGUCUUCACUUUUACAAAACUUUGAAGCUUUCUCCGGCUCAUCACAGACUCCUGACUCAGUUUCUGAACACCGGUCUAGCCUACACAAGAAUGGCCCGGCCCCGGUUGCGACGAUGCAACUGUUCUGAACCAGCACCAGAACUGUUUGUGAUCGAGUUCAUGUCUUGCGGCUUCAGGAGGAACCUCACCUCGAUG